AGGGCGGAGCCGACAGACCCUGCUCCGUCUGGACUCCUCCUCCCCCCCUGCGGCGGAGGGCCUGCUCUGAGCUUCACCCACCACCCCUCCCCAGGCCCCGACACGCACCUUCUCUUCUGUUGUCCCCCAAAUCUAGCCAGCCUGGGGCUCGUGGGGCUCGCGGGGCUCCCGGGCGGCCUGAGGAUCUGGGGCAAGGAAAGGGACAGUGAGCAGUGGAGGGAGAGGCUGGCAGACUCAGCGGGGGGUGCUUAGGAGAGGCCGGCUCACCUCAGGGCCUCUGGGAGCCAGCCCGGGGCAGGACGAGCGCCAGGGGAAGCCGGAGGCCUCGAGGAGCCCAAGUUCGAGGGAGACAAGUCUUUCCCUUUGGGGAGCUACCAGUACAAUGGGUGCUGAGGCUCCUAGGUCUCCCCCACCCCAGGAAGGAAGGGGCUGACCUCGAUUCCACACCCACUUGCUCACGCGAGCCCUCUCGCAGCCGUCUCCUCUGUCAAUCUGCUGCCAGGCCCGGAGUGGUUCUGUCCCCCGCUUGGCAAAGCUGCAGUCAGGGCCCCACGAAGGAUGUGUGGGUCACCCCGCGUCACGGGGCUGACCGAAAAGAAGGACGUAUUGCACUCAGCUGGCAUGGGUUCCCUCUGAGAAGCCCUCCUGGAUUGAUCGAAGUGGCAAGACCCCAGCUCCAGCCUGGGCUGCCCGUUACACCCGGAGCCACCCGGGAGAGGACUUCGUCCCACCCUUGCUCCCGUGGCCACCGCUGUCCACCCUGGUCCAGCCCAGUUCCUGUGGCGUCCGAGCUGAGAGUCCUCUGAGAUGGCGGUCCCGUCUCAGAUCUAAUAAAGACUCCUGAAUGUUGAACCA
rnacentral:lncRNA from 1 species